GCAGUCGACGAGAUUAAGGGGCUUGCUCCUUAUGAAAGUGGCGCACGGGUGCGUAACGCGUAUGCAACCUACCUUGAUCAGGGGGAUAGCCCGAAGAAAUUCGGAUUAACACCGCAUAACAACAUGGGAUAGCAUUAUUCUAUGUUCAAAUAUUUAUAGGAUCAAGAUGGGCAUGCGUGUCAUUAGCUAGUUGGCGGGGUAACGGCCCACCAAGGCGACGAUGACUAGGGGAUCUGAGAGGAUGGCCCCCCACACUGGUACUGAGACACGGACCAGACUCCUACGGGAGGCAGCAGUAAGGAAUAUUGGUCAAUGGAGGGAACUCUGAACCAGCCAUGCCGCGUGCAGGAAGACGGCCCUCUGGGUUGUAAACUGCUUUUAUUCGGGAAUAAACCWMWUUACGUGUARWKWGCUGAAUGUACCGAAGGAAUAAGGAUCGGCUAACUCCGUGCCAGCAGCCGCGGUAAUACGGAGGAUCCAAGCGUUAUCCGGAUUUAUUGGGUUUAAAGGGUGCGUAGGCGGCUUAUUAAGUCAGGGGUGAAAGACGGUGGCUCAACCAUCGCAGUGCCCUUGAUACUGAUGAGCUUGAAUGGACUAGAGGUAGGCGGAAUGUGACAAGUAGCGGUGAAAUGCAUAGAUAUGUCACAGAACACCGAUUGCGAAGGCAGCUUACUAUGGUUUAAUUGACGCUGAGGCACGAAAGCGUGGGGAUCAAACAGGAUUAGAUACCCUGGUAGUCCACGCCCUAAACGAUGAAUACUCGCUGUUAGCGAUAUACAGUUAGCGGCUAAGCGAAAGCGUUAGUAUUCCACCUGGGGGAGUACGCCCGCAGGGUGAAACUCAAAGGAAUUGACGGGGCCGCACAGCGAGAGCAUGKGGUUUAUCGAUGAUACGCGAGA
rnacentral:rRNA from 1 species